UUUAAAGAAUUUAUUUGUAAAUUAUGGUGGAAAAUAAGUAUUUGGUCAAUAACAAAAGUUUUGGCUUAAAAUCUCACAAUACCUGGCCACAUUCAUUCUUUUCUUAACACAGAUAAGUCGUCCUGUCCCCUUUACAGAAAAACAGCCCCAAAGCAUGAUGUUUCCACCCCCAUGCUUCACAGUAGGCAUGGCGUUUUUGGAAUGCAACUCAG